UUGCCCAAUGAUUAUAGCAAGACGCGUUAUUAUGAGGACUAAUGCUGGAACUCUUCCUCCUUCUCCUCCUCCUUCUUUGUCCCUUCCACUUUGACCUUACCCCCCCCUCACUUUCCUCAGGGUAUCCAGCGUCCUAUGAGCAAGACUGAGAUAUGAGGGCAA
rnacentral:snoRNA from 1 species